rnacentral:rRNA from 1 species
GUGUGUAGGCGGGCGAUCAAGUACCUUGUGAAAUCCCACGGCUCAACCGUGGAACUGCUGGGUAUACUGGUUGUCUUGAGCCAGCUAGGGGCGAGCGGAACAGACGGUGGAGCGGUGAAAUGCGUAGAUAUCGUCUGGAACGCCGAAGGUGAAAACAGCUCGCUGGGGCUGCGCUGACGCUGAGACACGAAAGCCAGGGGAGCGAACGGGAUUAGAUACCCCGGUAGUCCUGGCCCUAAACGAUGUCCACUAGAUCGCGGGACUUUUGACGGUUUCGCGGUCGAAGCCAAAGUGCUAAGUGGACCGCCUGGGAAGUACGGUCGCAAGGCUAAAACUCAAAGGAAUUGACGGGGGCUCACACAAGCGGUGGAGCAUGUGGUUCAAUUCGAAGCAACGCGCAGAACCUUACCUGGGCUUGACAUGCCAGGAUUAUCCCCAUGAAAGUGGGGUAGGCCCCGCAAGGGGUACAACUGGUACAGGUGCUGCAUGGCUGUCGUCAGCUCGUGUCGUGAGAUGUCGGGUUAAGUCCCUUAACGAGCGAAACCUUUGCCCUUAGUU